CAGUCGACGAAAUCUUUCGGGAUUUAGCGGCGGACGGGUGAGUAACGCGUGAGAAUCUAGCUUCAGGUCUGGGACAACCACUGGAAACGGUGGCUAAUACCGGAUGUGCCGAGAGGUGAAAGGUUAACUGCCUGAAGAUGAGCUCGCGUCUGAUUAGCUAGUAGGUAGUGUAAUGGACUACCUAGGCGACGAUCAGUAGCUGGUCUGAGAGGACGAUCAGCCACACUGGGACUGAGACACGGCCCAGACUCCUACGGGAGGCAGCAGUGGGGAAUUUUCCGCAAUGGGCGAAAGCCUGACGGAGCAAUACCGCGUGAGGGAGGAAGGCUCUUGGGUCGUAAACCUCUUUUCUCAGGGAAGAACACAAUGACGGUGCCUGAGGAAUAAGCAUCGGCUAACUCCGUGCCAGCAGCCGCGGUAAUACGGAGGAUGCAAGCGUUAUCCGGAAUGAUUGGGCGUAAAGCGUCCGCAGGUGGCAAUGUAAGUCUGCUGUUAAAGAGUGAGGCUCAACCUCAUAAGAGCAGUGGAAACUACAUAGCNNNAGUACGUUCGGGGCAGAGGGAAUUCCUGGUGUAGCGGUGAAAUGCGUAGAGAUCAGGAAGAACACCGGUGGCGAAGGCGCUCUGCUAGGCCGUAACUGACACUGAGGGACGAAAGCUAGGGGAGCGAAUGGGAUUAGAUACCCUGGUAG
rnacentral:rRNA from 1 species